AGUGGAGUGGCUGAGAAUAAUAAGUAGGCGAUAGGCUGUAAAUCUAUUUAGGGGCGUUUACGUUGCUCUUUCACUA
rnacentral:tRNA from 1 species